CGAACGCUGGCGGCAGGCUUACCACAUGCAAGUCGAGCGAGACCUUCGGGUCUAGCGGCGGACGGGUGAGUAACGCGUGGGAACGUGCCCUUCUCUACGGAAUAGCCCCGGGAAACUGGGAGUAAUACCGUAUACGCCCUGUGGGGGAAAGAUUUAUCGGAGAAGGAUCGGCCCGCGUUGGAUUAGGUAGUUGGUGGGGUAAUGGCCCACCAAGCCGACGAUCCAUAGCUGGUUUGAGAGGAUGAUCAGCCACACUGGGACUGAGACACGGCCCAGACUCCUACGGGAGGCAGCAGUGGGGAAUCUUAGACAAUGGGGGCAACCCUGAUCUAGCCAUGCCGCGUGAGUGAUGAAGGCCUUAGGGUUGUAAAGCUCUUUCAGCUGGGAAGAUAAUGACGGUACCAGCAGAAGAAGCCCCGGCUAACUCCGUG
rnacentral:rRNA from 1 species